UACAGAGGUCCCAAGCGUUAUUCGGAAUCACUGGGCUUAAAGGGUGCGUAGGCUGCGCAGCAAGUUGGGUGUGAAAUCCCUCGGCUUAACCGAGGAACUGCGCCCAAAACUGCUGUGCUCGAGGGAGAUAGAGGUGAGCGGAACUUAGGGUGGAGCGGUGAAAUGCGUUGAUAUCCUAAGGAACACCGGUGGCGAAAGCGGCUCACUGGAUCUCUUCUGACGCUGAGGCACGAAAGCUAGGGUAGCGAACGGG
rnacentral:rRNA from 1 species